rnacentral:rRNA from 1 species
AUGAACGCUGGCGGCAUGCCUUACACAUGCAAGUCGAACGGCAGCAUGACCUAGCUUGCUAGGUUGAUGGCGAGUGGCGAACGGGUGAGUAAUGCAUCGGAACGUGCCUUUUAGUGGGGGAUAACGUAGCGAAAGUUACGCUAAUACCGCAUAUUCUCUGAGGAGGAAAGCAGGGGGCCUUCGGGCCUUGCGCUAGAAGAGCGGCCGAUGUCGGAUUAGCUAGUUGGUGAGGUAAAGGCUCACCAAGGCAACGAUCCGUAGCGGGUCUGAGAGGAUGAUCCGCCACACUGGGACUGAGACACGGCCCAGACUCCUACGGGAGGCAGCAGUGGGGAAUUUUGGACAAUGGGCGCAAGCCUGAUCCAGCCAUGCCGCGUGAGUGAAGAAGGCCUUCGGGUUGUAAAGCUCUUUCGGCUGGGAAGAAAUCGCACUCUCUAAUACAGGGUGUGGAUGACGGUACCAGCAUAAGAAGCACCGGCUAACUACGUG